rnacentral:rRNA from 1 species
UACGAAGGGGGCUAGCGUUGCUCGGAAUCAUUGGGCGUAAAGGGUGCGUAGGCGGGUCUUUAAGUCAGGGGUGAAAUCCUGGAGCUCAACUCCAGAACUGCCUUUGAUACUGAAGAUCUUGAGUUCGGGAGAGGUGGGUGGAACUGCGAGUGUAGAGGUGAAAUUCGUAGAUAUUGGGAAGAACACCGGUGGCGAAGGCGCUCAUCUGGCCCAAUACUGACGCUGAGGCGCGAAAGCUAGGGGAGCAAACGGGG